GAUGAACGCUGGCGGCGUGCCUAAUACAUGCAAGUCGAGCGAACGGACGAGAAGCUUGCUUCUCUGAUGUUAGCGGCGGACGGGUGAGUAACACGUGGAUAACCUACCUAUAAGACUGGGAUAACUUCGGGAAACCGGAGCUAAUACCGGAUAAUAUUUUGAACCGCAUGGUUCAAAAGUGAAAGACGGUCUUGCUGUCACUUAUAGAUGGAUCCGCGCUGCAUUAGCUAGUUGGUAAGGUAACGGCUUACCAAGGCAACGAUGCAUAGCCGACCUGAGAGGGUGAUCGGCCACACUGGAACUGAGACACGGUCCAGACUCCUACGGGAGGCAGCAGUAGGGAAUCUGCCGCAAUGGGCGAAAGCCUGACGGAGCAACGCCGCGUGAGUGAUGAAGGUCUUCGGAUCGUAAAACUCUGUUAUUAGGGAAGAACAUAUGUGUAAGUAACUGUGCACAUCUUGACGGUACCUAAUCAGAAAGCCAGGGCUAACUACGUG
rnacentral:rRNA from 1 species